rnacentral:rRNA from 1 species
AUACGGAGGAUCCGAGCGUUAUCCGGAUUUAUUGGGUUUAAAGGGAGGGUAGGCGGACGCUUAAGUCAGUUGUGAAAGUUUGCGGCUCAACCGUAAAAUUGCAGUUGAUACUGGGUGUCUUGAGUACAGUAGAGGCAGGGGGAAUUCGUGGGGUAGCGGUGAAAUGCUUAGAUAUCACGAAGAACUCCGAUUGCGAAGGCAGCCUGCUGGACUGUAACUGACGCUGAUGCUCGAAAGUGUGGGUAUCAAACAGGAUUAGAUACCCUGGUAGUCCACACAGUAAACGAUGAAUACUCGCUGUUUGCGAUAUACAGUAAGCGGCCAAGCGAAAGCGUUAAGUAUUCCACCUGGGGAGUACGCCGGCAACGGUGAAACUCAAAUGAAUUGACGGGG